UACGUAGGGGGCAAGCGUUAUCCGGAAUUACUGGGUGUAAAGGGAGCGUAGACGGUAAUGUAAGUCUGGAGUGAAAGGCGGGGGCCCAACCCCCGGACUGCUCUGGAAACUAUGUUACUAGAGUGCAGGAGAGGUAAGCAGAAUUCCUAGUGUAGCGGUGAAAUGCGUAGAUAUUAGGAGGAACACCAGUGGCGAAGGCGGCUUACUGGACUGUAACUGACGUUGAGGCUCGAAAGCGUGGGGAGCAAACAGG
rnacentral:rRNA from 1 species